rnacentral:rRNA from 1 species
AAGGAUCAUUAAUGAAUUCACUAUGGAGUUGUUGCUGGCCUCUAGGGGCAUGUGCACGCUUCACUAGUCUUUCAACCACCUGUGAACUUUUGAUAGAUCUGUGAAGUCGUCCUUCAAGUCGUCAGACUUGGUUUGCUGGGAUUUAAACGUCUCGGUGUGACAACGCAGUCUAUUUACUUAACACACCCCAAAUGUAUGUCUACGAAUGUCAUUUAAUGGGCCUUGUGCCUAUAAACCAUAAUACAACUUUCAACAACGGAUCUCUUGGCUCUCGCAUCGAUGAAGAACGCAGCGAAAUGCGAUAAGUAAUGUGAAUUGCAGAAUUCAGUGAAUCAUCGAAUCUUUGAACGCACCUUGCGCCCCUUGGUAUUCCGAGGGGCAUGCCUGUUUGAGUGUCAUUAAAUUCUCAAACUCACAUUUAUUUGUGAUGUUUGGAUUGUUGGGGGUUGCUGGCUGUAACAAGUCGGCUCCUCUUAAAUGCAUUAGCAGGACUUCUCAUUGCCUCUGCGCAUGAUGUGAUAAUUAUCACUCAUCAAUAGCACGCAUGAAUAGAGUCCAGCUCUCUAAUCGUCCGCAAGGACAAUUUGACAAUUUGACCUCAAAUCAGGUAGGACUACCCGCUGAACUUAA